AACGAACGCUGGCGGCAGGCUUAACACAUGCAAGUCGAGCGCAUCGCAAGGUGAGCGGCGGACGGGUUAGUAACGCGUGGGAACGUGCCCUUUUCUUCGGAAUAGCUUCGGGAAACUGAAGGUAAUACCGGAUACGCCCUUCGGGGGAAAGAUUUAUCGGGGAAGGAUCGGCCCGCGUCUGAUUAGGUAGUUGGUGGGGUAAUGGCCUACCAAGCCGACGAUCAGUAGCUGGUUUGAGAGGAUGAUCAGCAACACUGGGACUGAGACACGGCCCAGACUCCUACGGGAGGCAGCAGUGGGGAAUCUUAGACAAUGGGCGCAAGCCUGAUCUAGCCAUGCCGCGUGGAUGAUGAAGGCCUUAGGGUCGUAAAGUCCUUUCGCUGGGGAAGAUAAUGACGGUGCCCAGUAAAGAAACCCCGGCUAACUCCGUGCCAGCCGCCGCCGUAAUAC
rnacentral:rRNA from 1 species